CGUGAAAGAGGAGAAACAUAAGGUUAAAACUUAAAACGAAUGAAUUUUAUCAUUAAGCGGAAGGAAUUUUCCAAAUAAUCCUCCUAAAUUUCAUAUAUAAACCUAUUAGAGAGGCUACUCUAAAAAAAAUUCACAAUUUUCGAGAACGUAAAAUUCAUAACAUAAAAGGGUUGUUUCCGUAAAUCCUCGUUCUAAGUACUUACAUGAGUCAGAACACGCCUACAUCCAUGUAAAACAUUCCUUGUCUUACUACAUCUCGAUCAUCUUAUCUGUUAUGAUGUCUUUGAAUCAAAAUCCCAAAAGUUUUGGUUCCCGCAAAAAUAAACCACGACCUACGUAUAUGAUCUUUAGUCAAGUUGGCAAGAACGUAAUGCAUGCCUCUCCAAUCGGCAGUUUACUUUCAACGGCAUAUUCACCGAAUCAUUUGCAACCAAAUCAACUCCUUGAACUACCCGACUCUCCCCUCGACCCUCCCCUCUAGGCUUUUAUGUUAUGACAUGCUGGUUCAUGGAAAUGCACAUACAUAAACAUAAGUUUUUU